rnacentral:rRNA from 1 species
GACGAACGCUGGCGGCGUGCUUAACACAUGCAAGUCGUACGGUAAGGCCCUUUCGGGGGUACACGGGUGGCGAACGGGUGAGUAACACGUGAGUAACCUGCCCACAACUUUGGGAUAACGCUAGGAAACUGGUGCUAAUACUGGAUAUGUGCUCCUGCUGCAUGGUGGGGGUUGGAAAGCUCCGGCGGUUGUGGAUGGACUCGCGGCCUAUCAGCUUGUUGGUGGGGUAGUGGCCUACCAAGGCGGCGACGGGUAGCCGGCCUGAGAGGGUGACCGGCCACAUUGGGACUGAGAUACGGCCCAGACUCCUACGGGAGGCAGCAGUGGGGAAUAUUGCACAAUGGGCGCAAGCCUGAUGCAGCAACGCCGCGUGCGGGAUGACGGCCUUCGGGUUGUAAACCGCUUUCAGCAGGGACGAAGCUUUUUGUGACGGUACCUGCAGAAGAAGCACCGGCUAACUACGUG